GGAGAGAUGGAGAGGAGGAGAAAGAGGGAGAGGAGAGGAGAGGAGAGGAAAGGAGAGGAGAGGAGAGGAGAGGAGAGGGACGGGAGAGAUGGAGAGGAGGAGAAAGAGGAAGAGGAGAGGAGAGGAGAGGUGGUAAUGCAUUAUUUCCACUGGCUCCUCGGUCCACCCUGCUGCCAGAACAGACUAGAACAGAUUGACUACAACACAUUGUCUAGCUUGCUCCGAUCCGUUCUGCCUUUUUCUGCGCCUCAGCCAAGGAAAGACUUUCUCUUUUAAACCACUCCGUUUUUAUACUCGAACCCCUUUGGGCGUCAGCCCUGUCGUCGUUUCUGUCGCAAAACAAACAAGGACGUGUGCUGUUUCCUGUCCAUACCCCUCGAUCCCCUCCCCUCAUCAAGACUACCCACUGGACUUGUCCAAGCACCUUCCUACCUUCCUACCUUGUUUUGUGAUUGUCCUGUUGUCAUGUUUUAUUUCCAGAGGAAGCUAGGUAUUCAUCUGUUCUCAUCAACAAACCCUAAAGGAAGGAAGGUUGAGAAUCUGGUGCAGUGCACCCACAGUGCAUGCUGUUUAAAUGCUGUCUGAAUACCUUUCUGUGGACUAGUCUUAAUACAGCGGUUGACUCGGCUCCACGAAUCUUCUGACUCGCGUCAGAACAAGUGAAAUUCUACUGAAUAUGCAGACAAGAGGGAGAACAUAUUUUUGGAUCGUUGGUAUUUGCUUUGAUUUAUUACGUUUUUUUGUUGUUGUCUGUCUGGGAUCAAGGACGUAUUCCUAAAACUGAACAGGUCAAACAGCCAAUCUGUCCUCUUUCUGUCCUGAUGUCCUAACAUCCUAUCUGUCCUCUUUCUGUCCUGAUGUCCUAACAUCUCGUCUGUCCUCUUUCUGUUCUGAUGUCCUAACAUCUCAUCUGUCCUCUUUCUGUCCUGAUGUCCUAACAGAACAUCUGUCCUCUUUCUGUCCUGAUGUCCUAACAGAACAUCUGUCCUCUUUCUGUUCUGAUGUCCUAACAUCUAAUCUGUCCUCUUUCUGUCCUGAUGUCCUAACAGAACAUCUGUCCUCUUUCUGUUCUGAUGUCCUAACAUCUAAUCUGUCCUCUUUCUGUCCUGAUGUCCUAACAGAACAUCUGUCCUCUUUCUGUUCUGAUGUCCUAACAGAACAUCUGUCCUCUUUCUGUUCUGAUGUCCUAACAUCUCAUCUGUCCUCUUUCUGUCCUGAUGUCCUAACAGAACAUCUGUCCUCUUUCUGUUCUGAUGUCCUAACAUCUAAUCUGUCCUCUUUCUGUCCUGAUGUCCUAACAGAACAUCUGUCCUCUUUCUGUUCUGAUGUCCUAACAUCUCAUCUGUCCUCUUUCUGUCCUGAUGUCCUAACAGAACAUCUGUCCUCUUUCUGUCCUGAUGUCCUAACAUCUCAUCUGUCCUCUUUCUGUUCUGAUGUCCUAACAGAACAGAACAUCUGUCCUCUUUCUGUUCUGAUGUCCUAACAGAACAUCUGUCCUCUUUCUGUCCUGAUGUCCUAACAUCUAAUCUGUCCUCUUUCUGUCCUGAUGUCCUAACAGAACAUCUGUCCUCUUUCUGUCCUGAUGUCCUAACAGAACAUCUGUCCUCUUUCUGUUCUGAUGUCCUAACAUCUAAUCUGUCCUCUUUCUGUCCUGAUGUCCUAACAGAACAUCUGUCCUCUUUCUGUUCUGAUGUCCUAACAUCUCAUCUGUCCUCUUUCUGUCCUGAUGUCCUAACAGAACAUCUGUCCUCUUUCUGUUCUGAUGUCCUAACAUCUCGUCUGUCCUCUUUCUGUCCUGAUGUCCUAACAGAACAUCUGUCCUCUUUCUGUCCUGAUGUCCUAACAUCCCAUCUGUCCUCUUUCUGUCCUGAUGUCCUAACAG
rnacentral:lncRNA from 1 species